GCCCAGAGAGGCAAAUCCGGGACUUGAGUCAUGAAGGUGGCAUUCUUUUUAUAGCCUUCCUUGAAGAGAAACAGACUUAGCUGUAAACACAGAAAAGUCUUCACACACCCAAGCCUGAACCAGGAAGCAAGACUGUAUUUUAACAUUGUAAGGUUGCAUUUUAGGUCAUCAGACCUAAAUCUAGCAGGAGGUAUGUGGUCCUCCCGAAUGCUCCUGAGGAAACAGAGACCUGAGCUCAACUGGUCUCUCCCAGGUCAGAGAAUAUACAAGAAGAUGCCCUAUAGGACAUCUAUAGGACAUCCUAUAGAUCUAUAUGUGCUAUCAUUUGGGACUUAUCUAUGACUGUGACUCUUUUCAGGCCAUUGAAUAUCCUUCCUCCUCUGUCACUGGAGCUUAGCAGAAUGUCAUCUUGAUUGGAGGAGGAGCUGUCUCAUAAAUGCUUUUUAAGAUAAGUAACUAGUAGGCAACCCCAGAGCUGGGGUGAAAAGUGGAGUCCUAGAGGAAGAAGGCAGGUGCAGCUCAUCUGACUUACUCCUGCUCCCCACCCUGGACACUCACAAGUACAAGCGCUCAAAUGCCUUUGGCCUCCAGCUUAAACUAACCUGAUGCACUGAAGUCUAAGGGCUUAUUGCUCCCUCUUCAAAGGAGACUCACUGGAGGUUAAGUUAUCUCUUUUAAGGAAAUCAGGAGGGGAGCAGGGCCAGAUUAGAUGACGACUAUCCUGUCCUUUGAGUGACGGGAGAUAAAACCAAAGCUCCAGUGGUCUUAUUGGGAGAUCUAAUGUCACCAAGACACUCCUUAUGUUCUCUGCACCUGUCUUUUUCCAUUUAGAAUCACAGGCUUCUCCUCAGAAACCCUUGUGUCUGUAUUCCAGGGAUAGGGGAGCCACCCAUAACAAAAAGGGAAACAACAAUAACCAUCUAGAAGGAAAAGGUUUUGGAGAAACUGGAAGCUCAUCUACCUCCUUCGAACAUUCUAAGUUUGCAUCCUCUGGCUUCUCAUCCAGUGGCCAGCAAGGCCCAGGUGGGCUUUCAGGGAUGUCCAGCAGCAAGAUUAUGUGAGCAAAGAAUUCAGGCUACCUUCUGGGAAUGACAAGCAGGUCCUUAUUGAUGGGGCGUAAAGCCUGAACCAGGGAGUGCUAAGAUCAGGCAGGAGAGGUAGGCAAGCCAUAUCCUAACAGAAUCCAGACUUUAUUCUGUAGGUAGAGGAAAUGAGGGGCCUUUGAGAGAUUCUGUGUUGGAGAAUGACGUGGUCUCAUUUACAUUUGAAAAUUUUUACUUUGACAUUUCAGACUUAGAGAAACGUUUCAAGACUAAUAUAAAGAUUCUUUAACACCUUUCACACAGAUUCAGCCAGACUCCUAAGUGUUGAUCUUUCUCUCUCUCUCCCUCUGUAUAUGAAUUUACAUGUACAGAUACAUGUAUAUAUCAUGUGUAUAUCAAACACAUGUAAUAUAGAUUUUAUAUAUAUAUAUAUGUUUUCUUUUCUUUUUUGUUUUUUUUAUUUUUUAUUUUAUUAUUAUUAUACUUUAAGUUUUAGGGUACAUGUGCACAAUGUGCAGGUUAGUUACAUAUGUAUACAUGUGCCAUGCUGGUGUGCUGCACACAUUAACUCGUCAUUUAGCAUUGGGUAUAUCUCCUAAUGCUAUCCCUUCCCCCUCCCCCCACCCCACAACAGUCCCCAGAGUGUGAUGUUCCCCUUCCUGUGUCCAUGUGUUCUCAUUGUUCAAUUCCCACGUGUUCUCAUUGUUCAAUUCCCACCUAUGAGUGAGAAUAUGCAGUGUUUGGUUUUUUGUUCUUGCAAUAGUUUACAGAGAAUGAUGAUUUCCAACUUCAUCCAUGUCCCUACAAAGGACAUGAACUCAUCAUUUU
rnacentral:lncRNA from 1 species